ensembl:snoRNA
GGAUCAAUGAUGAGAAAACUGUCUGAGGACGCUGAAAGACAAAACAAGCACUGCAGAUGUCAAUCUGAGGUCC